UACAGAGGGUGCGAGCGUUGUCCGGAAUUAUUGGGCGUAAAGCGCGCGCAGGCGGUCCUUUAAGUCUGAUGUGAAAGCCCACGGCUCAACCGUGGAGGGUCAUUGGAAACUGGGGGACUUGAGUGCAGAAGAGGAAAGCGGAAUUCCACGUGUAGCGGUGAAAUGCGUAGAGAUGUGGAGGAACACCAGUGGCGAAGGCGGCUUCUGGUCUGUAACUGACGCUGAGGCACGAAGCGUGGGGACGCAAACAGG
rnacentral:rRNA from 1 species